rnacentral:rRNA from 1 species
UACAGGGGGGGCAAGCGUUGCUCGGAAUUACUGGGCGUAAAGCGUGCGCAGGCGGCUUCUCAAGUCAGGGGUGAAAGCCCAGAGCUCAACUCUGGAAUUGCCUUUGAGACUGAGUGGCUUGAGUACGAGAGAGGUGAGUGGAAUUCCCAGUGUAGAGGUGAAAUUCGUAGAUAUUGGGAAGAACACCGGUGGCGAAGGCGGCUCACUGGCUCGUAACUGACGCUCAUGCACGACAGCGUGGGGAUCAAACAGG